AUCAGAUCAGGAACUAAGGCAGAAUCUGAGCUCUGCAAGGGCAGAAAUAUUUGCCCCUUUUGUCUACCACUCUGCCUCAAUGCCUAGAGUGGUGUCUGGCACAUGAAAUUUCUUUUGCUGUGGAGACGUUUCUCACUCUGCCAGGGGGGCCCCGAGUGAGCUCCGUGGAUGCAUCAGUCUGCUCUAGAAAACUCUACUCAACAUCCCUGACAGUGUCAGCUUACCGGGAACGGGCUUUAGUGGAUAGCCAUCCCAUUCGCGGCCCCAAUGAUCUCGAGCAGCUUAUUUUUGUUGUAGAGUAAGACCAGUGUUCCCAACCAUCCAGCCGAACAUGAGCUCCAGUGCUUCAAGAGCUUGCUGCGAAGACAAUGUCAUUUAUCACUACAGCCCUCACCCGCCCCCCCUCUGUGAUGACAUGUGGGUUUCAGAUGAUUUAUUCGAGGUGGCCCCUUAGGACUGGGGCAUGAUGGAGAAGCACAAGUGGCUUCGCACAGUGACAGGACGCCCCUCAAGGAAAUGUCAUCAGAGCUGUUUGCAUCUCAACCUCAUUCUGCCACAGGAGCUGCUCCUCUCUAUCUUCUGCCAACAGCGUCUCCCAGGUGGUGGUGAAAGAUGUAGAAGGAGGCAGUUCUUGAUUUGGUGUCAUGAAGACAGAGUCCAAUUCUCUCAGUAUUUUUGUCUCCCCUCUCCCUUUCAUUACUGUAUCAAAUAUGGGUCACGCAGAGCGAUAGGUAGGAGUUAAUACUACAAACAGCAUGAUUUCUGGGCCAAGCAUCUCUCUGGCUGCUUGUUUGAGUCUUUCUUAAGGCAGUUUUGGGCUAAAUUUAAUUAUGCUUUCUAUUUUAUUGUUAAUUUUCAUCUGAGUGAUGAAUAAACUCUACUACAGGAAAUGGCUAAAGUAGCCUUGGUUAGAGAGUAAAAUUUAGACUAUGAAAUGGACAAAGCAGAUUAUUUCAUGACCCAUCCUCGCCAACAUGUGGCCUUAUGUUGGACACUGCUGUUGGAGUUGUCUGUUGUCAGGGAGACCCAGUCUUCCAUCUGUGCCUUGCUGCCUAUUAAAUGCUACAAAGCUGGUGUUCACGAGCACUCUUCACUGGUAUUACUAAGUCCCUCAGAGGGUCUAGUCAUUCUGGCUUCAGCCCCAGCUGAGGCGCAGGGUAGUGUUGAAUGUGGCGGGGUGGGGGGAUUUGUGGUGUUGGGAAAGGUGGUGGAAGUGUGCCAGUGAGAGGUUCUGAUGGGGAGGCAGGCUGGCCUGGUGAGGUGAUGGCAUGGGAGUGUGCAGGUGAGCCUGUGACCUGUGUGUGAAAGCACACUAUCCACCCCACUGUCUUCAGUCACCUCUGUCUCAGCCUUGAAACAUGGUUUAAACCAUGUUUCAUACUUACUUUUUAAUAUUUGCAAAUUGAGUUUUUAAAAAUGUGAUUUUUAAAAAGAUUUAUGUAUUCAUUCAUUCAUUCAUGAGAGACAGAGAAAGAGAGAGGGUGGGGGCAGAGACACAGGCAG